rnacentral:misc_RNA from 1 species
ACAAACUUGGUCAUUUAGAGGAAGUAAAAGUCGUAACAAGGUCUCCGUUGGUGAACCAGCGGAGGGAUCAUUACUGAGUUCUAAACUCCAACCCUAUGUGAACUUACCACUGUUGCCUCGGCGUGUGCUUGCGACAGCAGCCCGCCAGUGGGCCUCUAAACUCUGAUAUUACCACUGUAUCUCUGAAUUCCUUAACUGAAAUACGUUAAAACUUUCAACAACGGAUCUCUUGGUUCUGGCAUCGAUGAAGAACGCAGC